rnacentral:rRNA from 1 species
CCUACGGGAGGCAGCAGUGAGGAAUAUUGGUCAAUGGGCGCGAGCCUGAACCAGCCAAGUCGCGUGAAGGAUGACUGCCCUACGGGUUGUAACCCUCUUUUAUAAAGGAAUAAAGUGAGGCACGUGUGCCUUUUUGUAUGUACUUUAUGAAUAAGGAUCGGCUAACUCCGUGCCAGCAGCCGCGGUAAUACGGAGGAUCCGAGCGUUAUCCGGAUUUAUUGGGUUUAAAGGGUGCGUAGAUGGGUUGUUAAGUCAGUUGGGAAUGUUUGCGGCUCAACCGUAAAAUUGCAAUUGAUACUGGCAGUCUUGAGUACAGUUGAGGUAGGCGGAAUUCGUGGUGUAGCGGUGAAAUGCUUAGAUAUCACGAAGAACCCCGAUUGCGAAGGCAGCUUACUAAACUGUGACUGACAUUGAUGCUCGAAAGUGUGGGUAUCAAACAGGAUUAGAUACCCUUGUAGUC